GAUGAAGAACGUAGCGAAAUGCGAUAAGUAAUGUGAAUUGCAGAAUUCAGUGAAUCAUCGAAUCUUUGAACGCACCUUGCACCCUUUGGCAUUCCGAAGGGUAUGCUCGUUUGAGUGUCAUUGUACUCUCACACUUCCAAUUCUUUGGAUUGGGAGCGGUGGACUUGGGUGCUGCUGCUUACCGUGGCUCACCUCAAAUGUGUUAGUGCAACCGUUGGUUAGACAUAGUACAGCGUGAUAAGUAUCUUCGCUGGCGCCUCACCAGAGGGUGGCUGAUCAGGGCUUUGUGCUUCCAAUCGUCUUCGGACAACCGCUGGCAACUUGACCUCAAAUCGAGUAGGACUACCCGCUGAACUUAAGCAUAUCAAUAAGCGGAGGA
rnacentral:misc_RNA from 1 species